rnacentral:rRNA from 1 species
GAUGAACGCUGGCGGCGUGCCUAAAACAUGCAAGUCGAAUGCAUUUAGUUGCAUGGCGAACGGGUGAGUAAUACAUUGGUAUCUUUCCUUGUCUCGGGGAUAACCCAUCGAAAGGUGGAAUAAUACCCGAUAGUUCCCCACGGGGUAAAGCUCCGGCGGACAAGGCGGAACCUAUGUCCUAUCAGCUUGUUGGUGAGGUAAUGGCUCACCAAGGCUAUGACGGGUAGCUGGAUCGAGAGGUUGACCAGCCACACUGGGACUGAGACACGGCCCAGACUCCUACGGGAGGCAGCAGUUAGGAAUAUUGCACAAUGGGCGAAAGCCUGAUGCAGCGACGCCGCAUGGACGACGAAGGCCCUAGGGUUGUAAAGUCCUUUUCUGAAGGAAGAUUAUGACGGUACUUCAGGAAUAAGUCACGGCUAACUACGUG